rnacentral:tRNA from 1 species
GGGGCUGUAGCUCAGUUGGGAGAGCGCUAGAAUCGCACUCUAGAGGUCGUCGGUUCGAUCCCGAUUAGCUCCA